rnacentral:rRNA from 1 species
GGUAGCUAAAUGCGGAAGAGAUAAGUGCUGAAAGCAUCUAAGCACGAAACUUGCCCCGAGAUGAGUUCUCCCUGAGACUUUAAGUCUCCUGAAGGAACGUUAAAGACGAUGACGUUGAUAGGCCGGGUGUGUAAGCGCAGCGAUGCGUUGAGCUAACCGGUACUAAUGAACCGUGAGGCUUAACCUUAC